CCCUGCCAGAGUUGGUGGUUCACAUUAAUAGAGAGAUGGAUCCUCUCAACUAAUUUUCUACCUGCUCUCCUCAUGUAUUUACUUCUUAGUGUUAUAGUGAAAUCAAAGUAUAUAAUGUAGCGUUGAAUUUGAAUUUUGUAGUGAUAGUUCAAAGUGUAGAGAAUGAAUUGAAUGCUUUUAAUUGAUGACUUUUGCACAAAGGCAGCUCUUGCUGAGCAUCUGAUGUAAUAGAGAAAAAUCAAGAAGUUCUUCUACAUACAUUCUACCCAUCUCUUUCUAUCUAUCUCUCUCUCUCUCUAUAUAUAUAUAGUAUAUAUAUUGAGAUUUCUUCAGCUACUAAAACCAGCCCAUAUCUCAAUUUUUUAAUUAUAACUUCUAAUUCACCAUCAUCAAUUUCUGUGAGAAAACAGCCACAAUUGUUGUAUCCUAGCUAGUCAUUAGUCCAAAAUGGCGAAGAGAAAGAAAAGGAAGAAGAAAAAGAAGAAACAAAAUGGUAGUUGAAUUCUUGAUUUGGUAUGACCGGAAUCGGAAAUACUAACAGCUAAUCCAUAUUUAUCAGCAGCUCAAAGGAGCAGUUGAAAAACAACCUCCUUCUCACUAAGCCUACCAGGAAAGUUGGAUCGGAUUUCAAUCAGAUCCAAGCAACUCUUAUAAAGAGAUACCAGCAAUCAGGAAGCUCAGUUGCAAUUCCUUCAAGCUGGUGCUGGCGAUCAGAAGCUACUACAAAUUGCUGAAGAAGCUGCUUCAAACAUAGUCUUAUGUAGAAGGUAGUGGCCAAUGCAGAAAUUACUAACUUUGAUUUUUUGAGUCACAACUAAUACUAGUUGACUAGUUGGAAUCACUAUCUGUAAUUUUGUUAAUUUUGUGACAAUAAUUGAUCCCCUGUGUGCAAACUAGCUUAGAUCAGUGAUUGCAACUUGUUCGGA